UACGGAGGGUGCAAACGUUGCUCGGAAUUAUUGGGCGUAAAGCGCACGUAGGCGGCCGAUUAAGUCAGGUGUGAAAGCCCAGGGCUCAACCCUGGAAGUGCACUCGAAACUGGACGGCUUGAAUAUGGAAGAGGGUUGCGGAAUUCCCGGUGUAGAGGUGAAAUUCGUAGAUAUCGGGAGGAACACCAGUGGCGAAGGCGGCAACCUGGGCCAAUAUUGACGCUGAGGUGCGAAAGCGUGGGGAGCAAACAGG
rnacentral:rRNA from 1 species